UACGUAGGGGGCAAGCGUUGUCCGGAUUUAUUGGGCGUAAAGAGCGUGUAGGCGGCCAGGGAGGUCCGUUGUGAAAACUCGAGGCUCAACCUCGAGACGCCGAUGGAAACCCCCUGGCUAGAGUCCGGAAGAGGAGAGUGGAAUUCCUGGUGUAGCGGUGAAAUGCGCAGGAUAUCAGGAAGAACACCCGUGGCUAAGGCGGCUCUCUAGUACGGUACUGACGCUGAGACGCGAAAGCGUGGGGAGCGAACAGG
rnacentral:rRNA from 1 species